rnacentral:lncRNA from 1 species
AUACCGCUUUGUACUUACGAUCUUGUAUCCACUGACUGUCUUGUUAGAUUAAUCCAAUAAAUUUCAUUCACUCCGCAUACUCAAUCCUAUAGACACCCUUUUAAUCCUUCAAUCACAGACAUAACUCGAUUUCACAAAACAAUCAAGAGUAUUCAAACCCACUUCAUUAAAAAUCCCGAUUCACCAUUACAAUAGUGACUUCAGCAGUGAUUGCCUCAGUCUUCCCAAAACUCUACGAAGAAGAAAAAUCCAAAUUCUAUGUCUUUCCUGACCCAACCCGAAGCAUGAAGCUCUUCUCUCUAAUCUCCUUGAUCUUCAAAAACCUCCAAUGAAAACCGAACUAGUAACCUUGCAAAAGCUUUCUGCCUGCUCUCCCAAUUCUCUUUCAAACUUAUUCUUCCCCUAACCUUAUCCUCUUGAAUUCCUUCAAUCUUUCGUCUUGGAUCCGAAAUUGGCUCCCGCCGUCAGAGCUUAGAUCCAAAAUUGGCUCACGUCAUCAAGGCCUUCUCCUCCAUUUUUACCUUUAAGAGAUCCAUUUACCGCAAACAACGUUCCCUGAAACGGCACAGAGAACAGGACAGCCUGAAACAAAAUCGAAACCCCGUACUCGGGUCCACAUUGAGUCGCCCGACCAAUUCAAGUCCCAUAUUGGGAAAGAUGCCCUUAGUAACCUGGAUGUUCGUAUAAUUGGGUCAAAUUGGUCCUCACGUUAGAUUGGCUAAGACCCGUAGUAAGACCUGGAUUUCCCAUAAUUAGAUUGCAUUGGAUUGACCGGCCAAUUCAGGUCUCAUAUUGGAUAAGAGUCCAGUAGUAACCUGGAUGUUCCCGUAAUUGGGUCUGCAUUGGGUUGCCCAGCCAAUUCAAGUCUCAUAUUGGGUAAGAGGACCCGGAUUGGAUUCUCGAAAUUGGAUCCAAUUGGCUCUUCGAACCCGUCGUGUGAAUUGGUCCUUCUCUUCCUACUGACUUCUGUUAUUGGAAUUGAACGGAGCGUUUCAGUAUGCCUUGGCUGACUGUAACGGGGUGACUGAACCUAGCCACUCGGUAUUUGUACAGGAGUUGGUCGUUGCUCCCAAUAUUCGAGGUAACUGAAUAUUAAUAAAAUUCCCCUUUCUUUUUAUUUUCACUGUAUACUCGUGUUACAACACGACAUCCACCCCCUCUGAACCUGUGCAUCCUCCGGUAUGCACCAAUUUACCCAAUUGCUAUUUGAUUCAGAAUAUAUCAUCUACGUCUUUGUCCAGUCCGUCUUCGUCACCUUCAUUAUCCAAAUCACUUUCAUCUUCUUGCUGCGGAAUCUCUAUACCUUCAUUAAGGUCUUCCAUAUUCAUCUCUGCGUAUCAUUGUUUAAAUAUUUUUACUCGUUUCCCUGCAAUUGGUAUUUUUAAUUUUGUACCAUCUAACUCCCGUAAUGAGUAAGUCGCACUAUCAUGAACUGUUGUUACCACAUAUGGUCCAAACCAACAUUUUGAGAAUUUCCGCAAAGUAUUAUGUUGAUUAUCCAGACUAUUGUCAUAAACAAGUACCCAGUCACCUUCCUCGAUUGCUUUUGGUCUCAAUCGAUGUUGCUUAUCGAAUUGCGCCUUGUUUUGUAACCUUACUCUUUUUAACCUUCCCAAUGCUAUCUGGACAUCUUCCAUUCUUUGCUCCAAUUGUCGAAUCCUAAUAGCCAGAAGUUCUUCUCUUGUCAAUCCAUCUUCCCAUAGUAGCAUACUCCAAGUAAGUACCUUUUCUUCAAUCGGCAUAAUUGGUUUUUGACCUGUCAUAAGUUCUACUGGCAUAUAUCUUGUCACCGAGCUAUGUGUUGUUCGAUCAGCCCAUAAUGCAAAUGACAAAAGCCGUGGCCACUCUUUAACUUUCCCAUUACAAGCUUUAACCAAUGCUUUCACAAUCGGUGGGUGACCACGUUCGCUUUUUGCAUUCCCUUCUGGAUUAUAAACAGUAGUCAGUGAUAGUUUAACUCCACAUCUUUCAAAGAACUUACAAGCUUCUUGCGCAUUUAAUUCUCCACGAUCUGCAGUGAUUUUUCCCACGCAUCCGUAGUGGCAAAUGACAUCUUCAAGCAAAAACCUACAAAUCCCCUCUGUAGAUUUUGUCUUCAAUGCUCUUCCUUCUACUAGAUUUGAUAAAUCUUCACGAGCUAAAAUCAAAUAUCUCAUCUGCCAUAACCCAACCGGCAUAAUAACCAAAUCAACAACCCAUUUAAAAUGAAUAGCCAGAGGAUACGUAGGAUGAAGACCAUCUCGAUGCCGGAUAUUAGAAUACGAUUGACAGAUUUCACAUGACUCUACAAAUGAGAGCACAUCUCGAUACAUAUUUUUCCACCAAUAUCGUUCCUUGAGUUUAGCAAAAGUAGCCCAGAUUCCACUAUGCCCUGCCCAUAAACUAUCAUGAAACUCCUUUAAUAAUUUUAGUUUUUCUUCCCUUUUGCCUAUCACUCCUUGUGGCAUCUCAAUUCCUUUCUUCGGUCUCUUCCAUAAGAAUCCAUCUCGAAGUAAAAAUCCAUAUGUUUUUUUUCUUAUUUGUUUGAAUUUUUCUGUAGACCAAUUUCCCUGCUUAGUCAAGGUAUUCAAGUAAUGACCAAUAUCCAAUAAUUCUCCUUCAUAAGACUCUUCAAGAAAUAGCUUGUCUUCUCUGUUGAGAUUUGAUAUUGAAUAGAAUUUCGAUCCGACAUCAUCAAUGUCUUCAACCAUUUCGUCCUCCCUCUCGUAUCUUGCUCAAGAUAGCAUGUCUGCUACUAAAUUGUCUUUUCCAAUAAUAUGCUUAAAUUCUGGAUUUAGUGACUUAAUAUAAGCAAUCCAUCUCAACAUCGCAAUAUCUGGCGUCGAACAGUUAAUAAUCAUUCCAAGUAAUGGCAAGCAAUUUGUUUCAAUUACUACUACUGCCUCAAUCAAAUAGUCCUUUUCAGCUUUCAUAGCCAAAACGACUCCCCAAAGUUCUCUUUUGACUUGUGAAUAUGCACGCUGACGAAUACUUAAAACUUUAGCCCCAAAUCGAACUGCAAAUCUACUUCCAUUUGAAUCAUCUUGACCCACAGUCCAUCCAAAGGCAAUUGGACUAGUGUCUACAGUAAGAAUCACUGGUCUAUUGCACUUAUAAUCAACCUUCCUCAAUAUUGGAGGUGACAUCAAUAAUUUCUUCAAUCUUUGUAUUGCCUGAAUAUGCCUUUUUUCUCAUUUAAAUCGGUAAUCCUUGCGUAACAGUUCAUAUAAUGGAUCCGCUAUGUGAGCAAAAUGAGGGAUCCAGAUUCGAUAAAAUACACAUGCACCCAAAAACCUGCAAACCUCUGUUAAAGAAUCACAAUCCUCUUUCAUCCUUCCAAUUGCAUCAACUUUAGUCGGAUCUGGUUUUCUUCCGUAAGAUCCACAUAAAUGUCCAACAAUUACAACCUCUCGUACUCCAAAUACGGACUUCAUAUCCGAUAAUGUAAGAUGAACUUCUCCAAGCCGAGUUAAAAUCUUUUCACAAUCUUGUAUAUGAUCAACAACAUAUUUGCGACACCCCUUCGUAUCUAAAGUUUCAUCCUUGUCUCCUUCUCUGCACCCUUUUAUAGGAACAUCAUUCAGAAAAGGCAUAGUCUUUUCCGGAAUAAAAUCUCUCAAUACCUUAUUCAUCCCAUUCAUCAUAUGCGCAACUCAGUUGGUCGCGCCUUGAGGAAGAGUGCACAUUCUAACCAAUCCAAGCGGUGUCCUCAUCGUUGUCAUAUCUCUACUUCCUUCGGCAAGUUGAAAUUGAUCAUAACCUGAAUACAAAUCACCCAUUGAAUAGAUUGCCCUUCCAGCAAACGCCUCAGCAAAUUCAUCUACAAUAGGUCCAAUUCCUGCAUUCCUGAUAGUUACAGCAUUCACCGGCUGCAUAUCUUGAAUAAACCGUAGUGACCCAUUCUUCUUAGGUACCGUAAACCAUCGACUAGAAUACGGUGCAAAUGAAGGUUCCAAUAUUUUCAUCUUUAUCUUUUCAUUUAAUAGUUCCACCAAUUUAGGUAAAUGUGCCCUCGGUACUGGAAUCGGUCUUAGAUUCCAAGGUACAUGCGGUACAGUGAAGAUAACCAUAGGUGUUAUAAUAUUUGGAUCCACACACCCAAUUUCAUGAGAUUCGAAGGCAAACGAUCUACCUUGUUUAGCCAACAUCUUUUUGAAGCAAGUAAUUUCUUCUGGCAAUAAAGAACCAUCAGAACCAAUCUUCAAUUCUUCAAAAGUCUCUUCAGUAAACUGAUGUCCAAUACUCAUUGGAUCUCUGAAACUUGCUUCUUUUGAUGCUUCUCCUAUUUGUUCUUUAGAAUCCUCUGGUAAUGGUCUGGCAACAGGCUUUACCUUCUUAUCUGCCAUUUUAUAUCUCGUCUCUACAGUGACUUCUAGUGCUUGAAAAGAUUCAAGCAUGGUAUAAACCUCUCUUGAAUGAAUCUCAACAAUCUUAUCAUUAUCUCCUAACCCAAUAGAUGUAAUCAAUUCCAAUGAAUCUUCCAGUCCAUUUUCUUCAUAAACACCUAAAAUCCUCUCAUCAUCUUGCAAUGUACCUAACUUGCAUAAUUAUCCUUCAAUAUUAUAUAAUCUUUUUCUUUCUUUUCUUUUAAAAUCAUCAACUUUUUUAUACAUAAUAUUUCCAUUCUCCAAUAUACCAAUAAAACUCGCAUCAAAGGCACCUUCAUUUCGCGAGAGUACCUCCUCUUUUGUACCUCUAUAAUCUCGCUUUACAGUGGUACCUCCCCAAAAUCCUUAAAUCCUUCAACAAUCUUUGGCAAUGGUUUCUCCCUCAACCUAUCUCGAUUCCGUUCAUGGUUAGGAGGUAUUGUUAGAAAUUAUACAGCUUUCCUCCCAUCUUCGCUCCAUACCCUUGCAUAAGCAGAACCAUCGUCAAGUUCUUUUGUUUCCAUCCGUAUUGCCGUGAUAUAAGGUUGUCCUAAAAUCAACGGAUAAGACGUUGUAUCUUGAACGAAGAAAUGUUGCUCCGUCGCAACAUCCCCAAUCCGAAUUUUGACAUCUGGACAAGCUCCAUAUAAUUCGCCCUGUGUGUUAUUAGCUGCUCGUAUUGUCCAUCCAUGUUCCAUAUCAAUUGGCCAUUUUUGCUUCUUAUAAAGAUCUUUAGACAUGAGAUUUAUUUCAGAACCAUGGUCGACCAAAGCAACUAUUGGUUCUUCUAUAUCUCCUACCUUCACCAAUACCUCAGUAGUUGCCCUUGCCCAAUGCUUUUUAGUAUAAUGGCUCAAAGUUUCCAUUUCCUUGUCACUAGAAUCUUUGAAACGUACUCGCUGAUUAUACCCAUUCUUUUCAUUUGUUGGUUGCUUGUAACCAAUAUCAACCUCUUCUUCAUCUCUACAUAUUCUUGCAUCAAUAGCAUGACUCAUUCCAGUUUCGCCCAUUAAUUGCCUCUUUCGUUUAAUGCUGUCAAUGAUAACAUCAUGAAACUCCUUCUUUGUAAUUCCCAAGACUUCUUUCAAUGUGAAUUCUACCUUAGCGUUUAAUAUACGUUCUUCCAACACCCCUUUCAAAUUUGUUGCCGCUUCAAUGUCAGAAAGUAGCUUAUAAGCAAUUGAUUUGCCCUUAUCUUUUGUCUCCGUUGUUUUUUCUCCCAAUGAUACUGAGGUAUCCUUUACAGGCAAUUCUUGUGAAGCUGCCUCUCGAGCCUUGUCUCCUCGAGUUUGCCUCUUAAAAGAAUUUCCUUCUCUAGUAUCAUCAAAAUUUCCUCAUCUUUUUUCUUCCAUCAAAGCUUCAUGUUGGCUCUUAGCAAUAUAUGCAUGAACUGAAAGAGACUCAACAGGAUCCUCCCAACCUGUUCUACCUCGUAUUGUAGCUGCAGUUCUCAAUAACGCUUCCCGAGGUAAUUUCCCUUCUUGCAUUGUAGAAAUGACAGAAGCCCAAAACUCACUAGUUUUCGUACUUCCACCAAUUUCAUCAUCUACUCUAGCACCAUAACUUGCACUUUCUCGUGCUACUGUUUCAUGCUCUUUUAAGUAAUCUUGAACCAAUGCUCUCAUUCCUCCCUUGCCAAAAUUGGUUUGAAGAAGAUCCUCUCUAUCUUUCAAUGCUAUCUUCCCAUCUUUCCAGCAAAUAAUUCCCUGCCGUAUCAUAUUAUUAAAUUUAUUGCAAUCUUUUCUAGUGUGUGAAGCAGCAUCACACCAAAUGCAUCUUUGUACAUAUCCUUGUUUUGAAACAUUCUUCAAAUUAUUUAUAGAAGUAUUCUCUUCAAGUUUUGCCAAUUUGAUUUGAAGAUCUCGCAUUCCUCGUAUAAUUUCUUCCAUACCCAUAUCUGCUUUCUUUGACAAGGAUGUCGAAGGUUGAACUAUAGGCAUUGUUGGUGGUGUUGUACAUAGUGGAGCUUUGGGUGCUUGUAUUGUUUUCGGAAUAUUGCUCCUAUCCUUCCUCCUUUCUUUUUUUGUAAGCAAUCCCACCGCAUCUUCAACGUUUUUCCACUUCGUUGUCAAUCCUUCAUCUUCUUCUUUGUCUUCAAGAAGGGGUUCUAAUUUUCCUUGCAAUUCUCCAUCAGCAGCUUGAAGAAAUAGAUCAACUUUGUUCGACUCUAAUGUCAAUUUUUCUACCUUCGAUAAUUGAGAGUACUGCCUCUCAAAUUCCCUUAGUAGCUCUGUUGCUUGCAAAUUCUUAUUGGGCCGUUCAAUCCAUCCCAGAAACAGCUUCUUAGUAAUGCGAUCAGCAUCUUCCAAAAAAUAUUCGUCUUUCAAUGCAUGUGAAAAAUCCUCCCAUGAAUUCCCACAACGAUCCAUAAUCGAUGUAAUGUGGUCCCUUAUCUCCGGUAUCGUGGCAAGUCCAAAUAGUGCAACCAUUUUCUUCUUAGAAACCCGAUUUAAUUCCAUUUCACGAACAUAACAUCUUAAAUACCUUGAAAUAUUCCUCCCAUCAAAUUGAUCAAUUUUAUUGACCACUGCUUGCAAUGCUUUGGUUGCCAAAGAUUCCUUUCGAUCAUUGCUUUGCUGUUGCUGCAUUGACAAUGAGAAGGCUUGAAACAAACUAGCAAUAGAUGGAUCCAUGUGCAUAUCUUGUCCUUUAGAAGACUCCCCACCAGAAACUCCUCCCAAAAAUCCUUCAAAAUUUUUAUUUUCGUUUUCCAUAAAAAUAAAGAUAAAAUCAACCAAAAUCCAAUACCUUCUACCUCAAGCUUUCACGUCGGGUUGACCACUUUUUGUCGUAUUACGUGCUUUCCUGCUCCAGAACGCGCCGGGUGUCUGGCUGUAGAAGGUAGUAUGGAGAUUCGCCGAUAGUCAAGCAGUCUAUUAGUUUUGACUGCUGGAAUAUAAACGACUGCAACAAUGUACCGUAAAUCUAUACAGAUGCUCUUCGAUUGCUUGUCGAAGUCCUUUUUGCCCCAGCCGGUAGGUCUUUAGACGUUACAGAGAACCCCGAACAAUCCAAACUGUUAAUCUUCAAUACCGCUUUGUACUUACGAUCUUGUAUCCACUGACUGUCUUGUUAGAUUAAUCCUAUAAAUUUCAUUCACUCCGCAUACUCAAUCCUAUAGACACCCUUUUAAUCCUUCAAUCACAGACAUAACUCGAUUUCACAGUACAGUCAAGAGUAUUCAAACCCACUUUAUUAAAAAUCCCGAUUCACCAUUACAAUACUGACUUCAGCAGCGAUUGCCUCAGUCUUCCUUAAACUCUACGAAGAAGAAAAAUCCAAAUUCUAUGUCAUUUCUUCCCCAACCCGAAGUAUGAAGCUCUUCUCUCUAAUCUCCUUGAUCUUCAAAAACCUCCAAUGAAAACCGAACUAGUAACCU